rnacentral:rRNA from 1 species
CGGCCGCGGUAUUUUGACCGUGCAAAGGUAGCGCAAUCACUUGUCUUUUAAAUAGAGACCUGUAUGAAUGGCUAAACGAGGGCUUAACUGUCUCCCCUUUCAAGUCAGUGAAAUUGAUCUGCCCGUGCAGAAGCGGGCAUAAUAAUACAAGACGAGAAGACCCUUUGGAGCUUAAGGUACAAAAUUCAACCACGUCAAGCAACUCAAUAAAAAGCAAUAAACCUUAUGGAAUAUGAAAUUUUACCUUCGGUUGGGGCGACCACGGAGGAAAAACAAGCCUCCAAGUGGACUGGGACAAAUUUCCUAAAACCAAGAGAGACAUCUCUAAGCCACAGAACAUCUGACCAAACAUGAUCCGGCCACCAAGACCGAUCAACGAACCAAGUUACCCUAGGGAUAACAGCGCAAUCCUCUCCCAGAGUCCAUAUCGACGAGAGGGUUUACGACCUCGAUGUUGGAUCAGGACAUCCUAAUGGUGCAGCCGCUAUUAAGGGUU